UGCCAGCAGCCGCGGUAAUACGAAGGUCCCAAGCGUUGUUCGGAUUUACUGGGCGUAAAGAGUUCGUAGGCGGCAGGGUAAGUCAGAUGUGAAAUCCCAGGGCUCAACCCUGGAACUGCAUCCGAUACUGCCUUGCUAGAGUGGUGGAGGGGCAUCUGGAAUUCACGGUGUAGCAGUGAAAUGCGUAGAUAUCGUGAGGAACACUAGUGGCGAAGGCGAGAUGCUGGACACUUACUGACGCUGAGGAACGAAGGCCAGGGUAGCGAAAAGGAUUAGAUA
rnacentral:rRNA from 1 species